rnacentral:lncRNA from 1 species
AGGAGGGAGAAGCGGAGGGCGCGUCCCAGAGGCGGGGGCCAAGGGUCUGCCACUCACCCGCGCCUUCGGCGGGCUGCGGCGGCCCGACGACGCCGUUCAGGUAGAGAAUGGGCAGCAGAAUAGGGAAAUUUGGAUGCAGAGACACAGAGAAAAUGCCAUGUGAAGAUGGAUCAGAGACAGAAGUGAUGCGGCUGCAAGCCAAGGAAUGUGAAGAAUGGCCAGCCACCACCGGAAGCUAGGGGAGACGCCAGCACAGAUUCUCCCUGAGAGUAUCCAGAAGAAACCAACCCUCCAACACCUGGAUUUCAGACUUCUGACCUUGAGAAGUGUGAGCCAAUAAAACAACUGCAGUGG